rnacentral:rRNA from 1 species
GAUGAACGCUGGCGGCGUGCCUAAUACAUGCAAGUCGAGCGAACAGACGAGGAGCUUGCUCCUCUGACGUUAGCGGCGGACGGGUGAGUAACACGUGGAUAACCUACCUAUAAGACUGGGAUAACUUCGGGAAACCGGAGCUAAUACCGGAUAAUAUAUUGAACCGCAUGGUUCAAUAGUGAAAGACGGUUUUGCUGUCACUUAUAGAUGGAUCCGCGCCGCAUUAGCUAGUUGGUAAGGUAACGGCUUACCAAGGCAACGAUGCGUAGCCGACCUGAGAAGGUGAUCGGCCACACUGGAACUGAGACACGGUCCAGACUCCUACGGGAGGCAGCAGUAGGGAAUCUUCCGCAAUGGGCGAAAGCUUGACGGAGCAACGCCGCGUGAGUGAUGAAGGCCUUCGGACCGUAAAACUCUGUUAUUAGGGAAGAACAAAUGUGUAAGUAACUAUGCACGUCUUGACGGUACCUAAUCAGAAAGCCACGGCUAACUACGUG